GUGAGGAAUAUUGGUCAAUGGGCGAGAGCCUGAACCAGCCAAGUCGCGUGAAGGAUGAAGGUUUUAUGAAUUGUAAACUUCUUUUGCAGGGGAAUAAAGUGCGGGACGUGUCCUGUUUUGUAUGUACCCUGAGAAUAAGGAUCGGCUAACUCCGUGCCAGCAGCCGCGGUAAUACGGAGGAUCCGAGCGUUAUCCGGAUUUAUUGGGUUUAAAGGGUGCGUAGGUGGUUUGAUAAGUCAGCGGUGAAAGUUUGCAGCUUAACUGUAAAAAUGCCGUUGAAACUGUCGGACUUGAGUGUAAAUGAGGUAGGCGGAAUGCGUGGUGUAGCGGUGAAAUGCAUAGAUAUCACGCAGAACUCCGAUUGCGAAGGCAGCUUACUAAGCUACAACUGACACUGAAGCACGAAAGCGUGGGGAUCAAACAGGAUUAGAAACCCUGGUAGUCC
rnacentral:rRNA from 1 species